AGGAAAAGUUAAAUAUCUCUGAAGAGAAGCCUAAUUACAAUUAGGCGUUAAAUAUCAAAAGGAAUCUACUUGAAAAUUUUUUUUAGUAAUUUAUCCAGAUUAAGUAUAUUAUAUAUUGAGAGCUAUAUGAAUUAAAGUGAAAUCUAUCUUAUUAACAAGGCCCUUGUCAGAUUCAUUGGGUACAAGAAGUAUGCUCAGAAAACAUGGAUAUAAAGUAUAUAUUGAACCAAUAUUUACAAUAAAAUAUCUCUAUUCCGACCUAUCUCAAUAUGAAUUUGAUAUUGUAAUAUCCACUAGCAAAAAUAGCAUCAAGGCCUUUAGCCGUAUAUAUAAAAUAGAUAAUCUUCCAAUUAUCACAGUUGGCAAUUCAACUAUGGAAGCUGCAAAAUGCUUGGGUUUUGCUAAUGUAGCAUCGGUGGAUAGUAAUGUUGAAGGGUUGAUCUCAUUUAUAAAAACUAACUAUUCAAAAGAAAUGAAGCUCUUAUACAUUAGAGGGCAAGAAGUUUCAUGUGACCUAAAAAAAAGACUAUC